rnacentral:misc_RNA from 1 species
UAUCAACAGAUCGCCACUAGUAUCACGCAUCAGCAGCAAGGACAGCUAAACAACGAAACCGAGACACACUCUAUUCGUCCUCGCUCUCACGCCGGCUUACCUUUUACGCCCUCAAUUCCUCCCGCCUCAGUCCCACCGCGCCCUUUGCAGGUUUUUUUUUUGCCGCACCCCUUAGGCUAGCAAGAUAAGAACGUUGACCCCGCUCGCACAUACAUCACAAUGACGAUUGAUACGCAGGCCGCACCCGCUGCUCAAACCUUGAAGGCCGGCAACUCCACAGGAUCUCUCACCGAGGAGCGCCGCGAGGUCGAGCAGCAGCGCGCAGCUGAGAACACGAGUUUUCGCCGUAUCGCGUCCUCGAAGCACGCCCAGCGAACCCUGCAGCCGUUGAACAACUUGACCGACAACAUGAAGCCCUCCCGCUCCACUAAGUCGAACUUGCGUCUCUCCAUCGGCGACCCCACUGUCGACGGCAAUCUAAAGACCCCCGACAUUGUAACAGAGGCAAUGGUAGAUGUAGUGCGCUCUGGCAAGUUCAACGGCUACCCGCCGACGGUCGGGGCAGACAACUUGCGCCAGGUGGUGUCGACCUACUGGCGCCGCUUCUGCCAGACCAAGUCUCGUCAAGAGGCGUUGAAGUGGGAGAACGUGAUCAUCACGUCCGGUGUGUCGCAGGCCAUCGUGCUCGCUCUCACGGCACUGUGCAACGAGGGCGACAACAUCCUCGUGUGCGCCCCAUCGUUUCCCCACUACAAGAGCGUCUGCGACAGCUACGGCAUCGAGUGCCGCUACUAUUACCUCGACCCCUCGAAGAGCUGGGAGUGCGACCUCAGAGCUGCGGCCGGUAUGGUGGAUAGCCACACCAAGGCAUUUGUCAUCAUCAACCCCUCCAACCCGUGCGGCAGCAACUUCUCCCGUGCACACGUGAGCGAUAUCAUCGAUUUCUGCCAGCAGCACCAGAUCCCACUCAUCAGUGACGAAAUCUACGCUGAGAUGGUGCUGAACAACGGCAUCUUCACGUCUGUCGCCGACUUCGACACGAACGUUCCGCGUCUCAUCCUGGGCGGCACAGCCAAGUAUCAGGUCUGCCCCGGCUGGCGCGUAGGCUGGUCUAUUCUGAUCGACCCAAUGAACGUUGCGGGAGACUGGGCUGUCGGAAUGGAGCGACUGACCCAGCUCAUCGCUGGCGUCAACUCUAUCUGCCAGGAGGCGAUUGCGCGGACACUGCUCAAGUGCCCGGCGGAGUGCACCGAGCACAUCGUCACUCAACUGGAGGCCGGCGCCAAAGUGUACGCCCGACUGCUCGAACACGACAUUGGCAUCUCCAUGGAGGCGCCGCAGGCCUCCAUGUUCGUGAUGCUCAAGCUGAACCUCAGCUACUUUCAGGAUUUGAAGUCGGACAUGGAGUUCUACGAGAAACUGCUGGAUGAGGAGAACGUGCAGGUGCUGCCGGGUGAGAUCUUUGGCAUGAGUGGCUUCAUUCGUGCAACGGUUUCCCGCCCAUCGGCGGUGCUGAAUGAGGCAGUCGACCGCAUCAUCGAGUUCUGCGAGCGCCACAAGAAGUAGAGAAAAAAAAAUACAAGCGGGCGUCUCUGCAUUCGAACAAGGGAGAGAUGAGCGACUGGCACACACACCGAGAGAGCAGCGAGAGCGCGUGAAGAGAGCAUGCUGAUGGACCGAGAUCGUCAUGGCACGGCGGAAAUGGAAAAGCAGAAAGAUAGAAGAGGGUAUAUGCGAGGAGAAGGUGGAGGAGAGGGGCAUCUGGCAUAUGCGCUGUUUUGAAUGGUGCCUGUUGGUGUGAGUUCGUGCGUGCGUGUGUGCAUGUGCGCGGGUGUAUGUGUGUGUGUGUACGUGCCAAGUUGUUAUCAUGAAGCAACACAAGAGUCAAAACCUUUUUGCAGGCUGUUGGCUUUCAUCUCGGGUCUUUCCCGAUUCCGCUCGUUUCUCGUUUUGUUUUUGGAUGUCCGGUCUCCCCUCCCACAUGGCCCCGGCCCUCUUGAAAGUCGAAGUUUUGGUCUCCCAGAGUGUUAUCCUCCCUCUUUCUCAGGGUUACCAAGCCUCCUCCUCCUCUCUCUGUAGCUGAUGGAGCUCUUUGCUCCCUCGAUCCGCCUCGCGCUUGUCCCCCUCUCCCCUUAUUACUUAUUUUUUGAGGCCCCUCCUAUCGCCUGCAGGCUUUUUUUAUCUCCGUGUGAGUGUGUCACGCUCUUUAGCGCAUUUCCUCCGCGUCCUUUACCCGCAGCGCCCGCUACCGCCUACACAGUUUCCCGGUUCCGUUUCCUUUUCCGGUCUGCGUUCAACGCGCGCUGCCUGUCGUGUGUUCGCCGCGAUGCAGACGACGAAGUAAAAGGCGCACACACCUGCACAGCCAGCAGACACGAAAAGGGAGAAAGAAAUGACUGGGACUUUGUAAGCGAGAAGAGACGGGGGGAAGGAACAUAUGCAGCCGAGUAGGGAAAACAAUAAACGACGCAUGCAAGCACACGCCGAGCUACACGCAUACGCAUAUGGUUGCAUAUGCUGAAGUAGGUGAGCGAGAACAGUAGAUGCAUGUGAGCCGUUUACCCUGGAUUUCUGCCGGUCCUCCGCUCCCUCCUCUCCAAAACAUGCAGACGAACAUGUAAGCACUCACCGAUACUGGCACUCAUAGUCGCCAGCUCGAAUAUGGUUUCUCUUCUCAGCUCUCCCUUCUUCUUUCUCUUCGCUCUCCCUCAUGAAGGAGCUUACGCGAAAUACAACGCAUGUUUCGCGGUUCUCUUCUUUUUCUGUGAAUUCGUUUCCGUGUGUGCGGACUUCCUUUGCUUUUCGCCACUACCUCCCCGCCCCUCCGUAUUUAUGUGUGCGCGUUCGUGUGCGUGUGCGUGUGCGCGUUUCCUCUUUAUUUUGUUGUUUUGGUCGUCUUCUCUUUUUUCCCGUGAUAUUCCUGCUGUUCCUCGUUAUCACUUGAGGUGAGACAGUAAGUGCGUUUACGCUUGUUUGCGUGUUUCUUCGCGCCACAGGUGGUGCAUGCUUCUUUACUUCAUUGAUCCUUGUUUUUUCUCUGUUUAGCUUCUUCUGUGUCGUAUUUUUGUCCUCAGAAACUCCGCCUCACCUCACCUCCGACACUUCACUCUUUCCCUUCUCUUCCCUUCCUCUCACGUUCGAAUCCUCUUUCCACCUCCUUCUUCCUGAGCUGCUCAUGAAGCACCACUGCCCCCUUCCCCCUCAUAAAAAAGGCCCUGCCCUCUUCCCUCUAACCUCUCGCGCGCACGUGUCUCUCUCUCGCCUGCCCACUGACACAAGCAUAGGUCCGUAAGCACGCCGCCGCCACCCUCCCCUCCCCUCUCUCCGCUGGGGCAUCUUUGUUGUAAAUUCCGCCUCCAGCGGAAGAGGGGAGGGGAUAACGGAGCGAAAAUGAGAGCAACGAGUUCGUUCUUUGCUCAUGCAUCGGGGGGUACGUAUUUCCCGUUUUGUCUCCAUAGUCGUGAAGGCGUGCCGCGUACCGCGUGUAAAAUAGGGUUGCGGGCAGGGAGAUCAAGACGAGUGAAUCAGGGAGGGGAGGGGAGGAAGCACACGAUACGGCUCGCAUUUUAUUUUCGCCUUGCAUGUUUUGGUUUGGCUACAUCUCUCACCCGCACACACACACACACUUCACGCUCUCUCUUUGUGUGUGUGUGUGUGCGGAUGGAUGGAUGGGACUGGUUUCUUCGCCUGGUAAGCGUAAACUGUUGUCUUUUUCAUGUUUUGUUUUUGUGUUACUUCCACGGAAAAGAAAAAGAAAAAUCGAAACGCAAUGGAAACAGGCGGGGAAUAAUCUCUGCAACCAUCGAAAAGGCCACCCUCAUCGCUGUAGUCUCUCACAAGCACCAUUUACAGGCUGUACGACGUACACAGAUGCCCGCGGAGACGACAAGAUGACAGGCGAAUGGCCCCUUUUUCAUUUUUCGAAUUCCAUUCUCGAUGCGGAUGAUGCCGGUCAGCUUUCAGUAGUACCACCGUCCAGUAGCCACCUUAAGGGGAAGCCAAGAGCCCGCAGACUGCCCUGGUAUAUGGCUGCGGGCUCUUGGUGUCGGUGAACAGGUCUGGACUAGCUCUGUGCGGCGGAAACUUGCGGCCGUCAUCACGUCACUGCCAUCCAAACGAUCGGCAAGGUAUCCGCGUGACUCAAACGCAUCUCACCCGCUCCUCGCUGGCUACUGGUGGUGGGUAGCCUGAGCGGCUGUGAGGCGACCUGCGAGGCAAUGGUGGGUAAAGUUUGAGGCAAUGGUGGUUCCCCCAUGGCCAGGUCGGCGCAUCGCUGUACCGCAUGUCUACGGCUCCAUCGCACCACGUGAUGUGGGGCCCGUAACAUGCCGGGGGAGUAAAGCGGUGCUCGACUCAUCCUGUAUGGCAGAGAAAUGGGCUCACGCUGCAAUAAUCAAAAAGCUUUUGAGCACAGAAAAGUCAAAAGUGGAAGACGAAGCGGAAAGCUGCGGGACUACUUCCCCAACGACACAGUGGUUCCCAUGGGAUAAAAAUGACCCAUCAGCUUCUUCCUCUUUGUUGUUUGUUUCGCUUCUUGAGUUUUUCCAACCCCACCCCCACCCCGCGUCCGUGUUGAUAGCGCCGAUGCCAUGCACCAGCACCGCGAUUCCGAAGCCUGCCCUUUUCUCAAGGGCAGGGGAGGGGGGAGAAGGUGUUUGUAUACGGGUCAUUUGCGCGCAAUGUCGCUCGCUGCGCUUUUUAUACUGAAAUGUUUGCUGCCGCCUGCACAGGAAGCCCCACAUAACAGCGCGAGUAGUUUGCAGACACAGGCAAGGAAGACGCAGAAGAAGCGAAUACGGCGCAGCAGCCGACAUGGGUGAAGGGUGAGGUUGGUUCUAAUGUACUUCAAACAAGGAAAAAGAAAGUUGCAUUUCCUCUCCGCCUUGUCAUCUUUUGUUUUCUUUUCUUUUUGGCGCGUUGUUCGCCCUUCUCUGGCCUUCGCGUUUGCCUUGGCUUGGCUUGGCUUGGCUCCACUCUUGUUCUUGAUUGAUUUUUGCGCUUGUGUUGUCUUCGACUCGUAUUUUGUCUCCCUGCAUUUCGAUUUGCACCUUCUACGUUCUUGGCCCCGCUACUCUGUUGCGCUCUCUGUCUCUGCCCCUAUCUCUGCUUACGCUUCCUCGUCGCCGCCGGGCUCUGCUCGUUUGCAGACGCACACGAACAGAAUCACGAGGGGAGGGCAGAGAGCGAAGAAGCGAUGGCGAGUCGAGUGGAGAGCAAAAAAGAAGGAAACGCUCCAGAAUUUGAUGAAAGUGCGGAGGCAACGAGAGUGACAGGGAGAAGGCAGAGAGAGAGCGACGGUUUUCCAAAGACGAGCAUUUCAGCUUGUGGGCGUUUUUCUUCUUUUUUGGUUCUUUUCAGCCGUUCAGCAGUACCCCGAUGCCCACGACAAACUUCCUUUGAUUUCUUCCUUCGUUUUUCCACCAUCCCUUUCCUGUACUCGCGCGUCACCUCUUUCUCUUUUUUUUUGGCGUGGUAACUUGAAACAAUUUAUACAUAUAUAUAUAUAUAUAUGUAUGCAUAUAUACGCAUCCGCGCACAGCACAUCGGGAAAGAGGUGAUGAGCCAACACAUGCAAACAGGAAAAAAAGGGAAGCUGUAAUUCGUAAAAGUAGACACACAUGCACGUCAAAGCCACAAGGAAAAAUGAGGCAAACGGAUGCGUGACACAAAACGACAAAACGCGCGAACGUUUCUUCCCUUGAAAAAC